rnacentral:snoRNA from 1 species
CUGAGCUAGUGAUGAUUAUGUUAUCCCUGGCUGAAAUCACAUUUUCCCCUGUGGAAUCACGAUUCUGAGGCUCAG